UUGAUUGCGAAUCGUUGUCUUCAGUGCUGGCCAGCUCUGGCAAGUGCACGUUGGCGGCUUUUCAUCCAAUACCCCUGUGAACCUUUGGCCUCUUGCUAGCCUUGGCCGGCAGGGGAAUUUUUACACCCACUCGAAUGUAAUGAAAUUAUCGUUGUGCGUAAGCACUAAUGUA
rnacentral:misc_RNA from 1 species